UCUCCGUAGGUGAACCUGCGGAGGGAUCAUUACCGAGUGAGGGCUCACGCCCGACCUCCCACCCUUUGUGAACCCAUCUUGUUGCUUCGGGGGCGACCCUGCCAGCACUCUGUCGCCGGGCGCCCCCGAAGGUCUCCCAACACUGCAUCUUUGCGUCGGAGUUCAAAACAAAUUAAACAAAACUUUCAGCAACGGAUCUCUUGGUUCUGGCAUCGAUGAAGAACGCAGC
rnacentral:misc_RNA from 1 species